UGGGGAAUCUUCCACAAUGGGGGAAACCCUGAUGCAGCGACGCCGCGUGAACGAUGAAGCCCUUCGGGGUGUAAAGUUCUUUCGACAGGAACGAUAAUGGCGGUACCUGGAGAAGAAGCUGCGGCUAACUACGUGCCAGCAGCCGUGGUAAUACGUAGGCAGCGAGCGUUGUUCGGAGUUGCUGGGCGUAAAGAGUGCGUAGGCGGCGAGCCAAGUUUGGUGUGAAAUCUCCCGGCUUAACCGGGAGGGUGCGCCGAAAACUGGUUGGCUGGAGUAUGGGAGAGGAAAGCGGAAUUCCUGGUGUAGCGGUGAAAUGCGUAGAUAUCAGGAGGAACACCUGCGAUGUAGACAGCUUUCUGGACCAAAACUGACGCUGAGGCACGAAAGCGUGGGUAGCAAACA
rnacentral:rRNA from 1 species